CCCUGGCGACUCACAGCCCGGGCUGCGGGCGAACCCGCGCGGAGGUGAGGCACCCGGCACAGCGAAGCGGACUCCGGGUGGGGUGGCCGCCGGCAGACGCGCAUCGCACUUCACCCUGCCGAGCACAGGAAGAAGUGUGGACUAUUCUGAAACAAAAUAUCUAUGUGAACAACUUUUCAAGAACAAAAAUAUAAAGAACCUCUUCACCAGAAUGAGAAUGUUUCUUAGAUAUCAUUGCUGCAAUGAAUCUAUUUGGAGAUGACAAUGUUAUAAGCACCUUGAGAGCGUCAUCUUGAAGUUUAUUCUGAUUGCUUUUGGAUUCAAAAACGAGAGCUGUGAAAAGCAAAGAGAGGCAAAGCGGCCCUAGCAGCAGCCCCCAGACCCGCCGCUCCAGGGACACCUCUGUCCCUGUUGGUCCCCACUGUCUGGCAGCAGGUGAG
rnacentral:lncRNA from 1 species